GAGGGGGAUGGAAGCCUGGCUCUGAGCCCACCCGGUGGUCCUCAGACCUUGGGUGUGUGUGUGUGUGUGUGUGUGUGUGUGUGAGUGUGAUGUGUGAGCGAUGCGGGACUAGUUCUGCUUGCAGAGCAUCCCUCGGGACUGGUAGGACCCGUUCUCAGCCCGACCUGGGGUGACUCUGAACAGGUCUCAGCCCCCUCUGAGCCUCGCCUUCUCCGGACCCUGCUGGAAGCGGGCUCCUGAGCUCCUCGGGGUCGGCAGGAGGGGUCCAGCGGCCCUCCCCUCAGGAGAGGCCAGGCCAGGACUCCCGGAGGAGGACCGCAGACUUGGGAGUGCUCCCACUGGACCCGCCGUGGGCCCACAGGAGGCAGCGCCCGGCCCGGGAGCAGCAGGCUGGGAGGGUGGCCGGGGGCAGGUAAACUGGUCCAGGGUCCGGGGUGGGCUUCCUGUUCCUCCUGUCUCUGGGGCCCUGGUGACUCGGACCGUCCUCUGCGGGAACUCAGACGCCGGGCCAGAGGCCGGCGUGGGGCUGUGCUUCGUUCUCAGGCAGCGGCAGCUGUGCAGGAAGGACCUCACAGCCAACAGUGGCGGAGAGGGCGAGGGCGGGGGGCGCAGUGGGCCAGGCUGUGUGGCCCAGCACAUCGGAGCACCGCUGGCAUCUGAGCUAGGCCAGGGUGCUUGAAAUUUCCUCUAGUUCUUAGACUUCCUGUUCUGGAUGACAAACGUGAAAUUUUUGCCUUUAAUUAUAAAAGUGGUCUGCAUAGAGUUAAAAAUUCGAGCCAUGUUCGAUCCUCACCUGGAGCAUCAAAAAAAAAAAAAA